rnacentral:piRNA from 1 species
UAACCUAUUUGUGGAGAGCUGUGACCCA